rnacentral:rRNA from 1 species
CCUCCAAGGCUAAAUACUACUGACUGACCGAUAGUGAACCAGUACCGUGAGGGAAAGGCGAAAAGAACCCCUGUGAGGGGAGUGAAAUAGAACCUGAAACCGUGUACGUACAAGCAGUAGGAGCAGGCUUUGUCCUGUGACUGCGUACCUUUUGUAUAAUGGGUCAGCGACUUAUAUUCAGUGGCAAGGUUAACCAUCUAGGGGAGCCGUAGGGAAACCGAGUCUUAACUGGGCGUUCAGUCUCUGGAUAUAGACCCGAAACCAGGUGAUCUAGCCAUGGGCAGGUUGAAGGUUGAGUAACAUCAACUGGAGGACCGAACCGACUAAUGUUGAAAAAUUAGCGGAUGACUUGUGGCUAGGGGUGAAAGGCCAAUCAAACCUGGAGAUAGCUGGUUCUCCCCGAAAGCUAUUUAGGUAGCGCCUCGGACGAAUACUACUGGGGGUAGAGCACUGUUAAGGCUAGGGGGUCAUCCCGACUUACCAACCCUUUGCAAACUCCGAAUACCAGUAAGUACUAUCCGGGAGACACACGGCGGGUGCUAACGUCCGUCGUGGAGAGGGAAACAACCCAGACCGCCAGCUAAGGUCCCAAAUUACUACUAAGUGGGAAACGAUGUGGGAAGGCUCAGACAGCCAGGAUGUUGGCUUAGAAGCAGCCAUCAUUUAAAGAAAGCGUAAUAGCUCACUGGUCGAGUCGGCCUGCGCGGAAGAUGUAACGGGGCUAAGUAGUAAACCGAAGCUGCGGCAAUAUACUUUUGUAUAUUGGGUAGGGGAGCGUUCUGU